UGGUGCCCAGGAGGUUGAGACUGCAGUGAGCCAUGAUCGCACCGCUGCACUCCAGCCUAGACGAAGAGCCAGAUCCUGUCACAACAACAAAGAAAGUAUAACCAGUGGAUAUAGCAGUAUUAAGGUAGUAAAAUAUGCUUUUUUUAAAAAAAAAAAAAAGGUGUAUUCAAAUAGAAGAGAGUAAAAUUGAGUAACAUUCUGGUAUGUAUAUAACAAAAACUGUGAUAACUCAAAUAUUGCAAAAAAUUUUUGAAGUUUAAAGGGGAUCAGUGGCAAUUGUUGCAACCCGAUCUAACCCAUUCUCUCUGCAGAGAUAUCUUGGAAGGUAAGCCUAUUUGUCAAUUAUUAAUUCAGUCAUUUGCUCAGCCACUCACAGAGGCACUCAGGAUUUUUUUUUUUUUUUUUUUUUUUCGGCAUCUGCUAUGUGCCAUGCUCUCUGCUAGUGAACAGAGCACAGAGUCAUGAAAACUAAAAUGUAAAUACCCCCAGUGCCUUCUUAACAUUAUGCAUUCUUUCAACAAAUAGUAAUGGAAGGCAUGCAAGGCACCGGGGGAUAAAAUGAUAAAGACAGACAGAGGCGCAGCUCUCCUGCCCUCCUGGACACUAUUGCUUCCUAGGAGAGCUGACCAUGAGUCAAGUGGUCACAUAGAUAAAUAUGAAAUGAACACUGGUCAUCAUCUGCGUCUUAUGAGUGCGCAUCAUCAGAGGUGUCCACGCAAUCUACAAUGAAGUCUGGAGGGUUUCCUUGGAGUCUGAGGGGCGCUGGAGGUGAGACCUGGAGGACUAAGGGGCCAGAUCCUAAAAUCCACUUCAGAGCAUCAGUGCUAAAAGCAUGUUACCUGGUCUAGCGACCUCAACAUCACGGACCCACUUCACAGCCAAAGAGUAUUGUUUUAAUGGCAAAAAAUCUGAUAUUCUUAUAAAUAGGUUUAAUAAAUUAUGUUACAUCAAGACUCUGAAAUAUCAUGCAGGCAUCAAAAAGAAUGAAUAAGAACAAAGUUGGCAAUCUUUUCUGUUUUGGACCAGAUAGUAAAUGGCUUUGCAGGCCACAUCAUCGCCAACUACUCAACUCUGCUGUUUCACUGUGAACAACAACCCAUAAAUGAACAGGGAGGAUGUAACUGUGUUCCAAUAAAAUUUAAAUUACAAAAACAGUCACAGGCCAGACUUCGCCCCUGGGCUGUAUUUUGUCAACCUCUGAAUUACAACUGUACUACAAGACUUCAAACUAUUUCCAUUAGAUGUUUACUAUUGAAUGGAAAAACUAGGGGUUAGUUGUGUGAUGUGAUCACAAUUUUGUACAAAAAACAAUUGCAUCACGACACCCAUCUUUUGUAUGUAUCUGUGUGUGUAUGUGUCUAUGUAUAUAUGUAGAUGUGCAUAUCUGUACAGGAUUAUAUGGGUACACAGGAAAACACGGAAAGGUACUUCCGUGUGAACUUCUUAACUAGGUUUAGGAAUUGCUAAUAAAGAGACAGGAGGGGAAAAAGAUGCAUGUAAACAAAUUAUAAAAAGAAAAAAUAGAGCACUAAUCAUCAUCUAUAUGAUCAUAAUUUUGCAGUUAGUUAAAUUUUACAGACAUGUGUUUAUGUAAAAAUAAAUUAAAUAAGAUUCAAAAACCAGUCUCUAUCUCCAAGGAUAGUUGUGAAAAUUGAACGAAAUAAAGCAUGCAGACUCUCAGCAAAGAGCCAGAUGGAGCCGCUCAUUCCAACUCUAAUUAUCCCUCAAUUAGAAGAAGCCUCCUAACUGGGUUUUCUGCUCACAUGCUUCCUACCUAAAAACCUCCGCCCUUUCCCUCACCCCUUUCAAUUCUGCACUCAGUAUUCUUCGGCUCAUUCAUUCCCUCAUUCCAUCCAUUUAUAUACUCUGGGCACCAUUUAUAAGCCACACACUGUGCUAGGGACUGGAAACUUAAAAUAAAUAAAACGUUCACACUUUCUCCGUCCCCCAGGAUUUUAGAGUGUCUGGUCAGAGAGCUCGUUGAAAGCCAGGUUUUGGAUAUAUCAUUGUCUGCCUCCACAACGGUGCUCCUUCCUCUAAGAGAAGACCGUCCUUGCAGCAGAGUUCUCCUUCCUGAAGGCAGAGAUUUCUUGUAUAUGCUCAUAUACGUCGUGCCCACCAGGAUUCCUGGCAUACAGUAGGCAUUUAAUAAAAAGGGAUUGGAUAAUUGAAUUAUGGAUGGAUGAAUUGAUUGAAGAAAUGAAUGAAUCAUUUGUGUGAAUGGGAAUUCCCUAUAAUCUGCCUUCCCUUGCUUCUCCCACGACAAGUCAGUAAUAGUAACAGCUCAGGUUGCUGCUGUAUGUAAUAGGUACCAGGGGCUGUGCCAAGAAGCCACCUGCCUUAUCUCACCUGGCAAGGUGUGAACUAAUAUAAUCCACACUUUGUGGAAGGGAGAACCAGUCCUAAGGGUGGUAAAGUUAGUAGCUGCAGGACCCUGAGCUGGUAAAGAUGUCCAGCCAGGAUCUAGGACCUGGCCUCUUACUCCAGAGCUACGGUUCAUAACACAAUCCUACGUAUUUCUCAUAGAAAGUACUGAGAGUAUUCUACAGAUCCUAAAGGAUGGACUCAAAUCUACUCUGUUCCAAAUGCUAAAAGGCACCUUAAUUGUAUUUCCAAAGCUUAAAGAAAUGGCAACUGGCCAAACAUCCAGGCUGCAAGGAGAUGAGAC